rnacentral:sRNA from 1 species
AAUCUUGUACUUUUAAUUAAGAUCCGGUGUAUUUGAAGGCAAGUAAAUAGUUUACCUUUAAACAUUAACACGUAUUUCCCUGGUGUUAGACAUCUUAGAGAGAGAUCAGAAAAUGCGUUUUUUUAUUUGUCUUCUUCUAGUCAUGGCUAUACUCGGAGUAACCGUUGGUCAGACAGAAGAAUCUAAUGAUUACAGAACUACAGUCAGACCAACAAGGAGACCAGAAAACUGUCAAUUCAAAA